AGUCGAGCGGACUUAAAAAGCUUGCUUUUUAAGUUAGCGGCGGACGGGUGAGUAACACGUGGGCAACCUGCCUGUAAGACUGGGAUAACUUCGGGAAACCGGAGCUAAUACCGGAUAAUCCUUUUCUACUCAUGUAGAAAAGCUGAAAGACGGUUUACGCUGUCACUUACAGAUGGGCCCGCGGCGCAUUAGCUAGUUGGUGAGGUAACGGCUCACCAAGGCGACGAUGCGUAGCCGACCUGAGAGGGUGAUCGGCCACACUGGGACUGAGACACGGCCCAGACUCCUACGGGAGGCAGCAGUAGGGAAUCUUCCGCAAUGGACGAAAGUCUGACGGAGCAACGCCGCGUGAGUGAUGAAGGUUUUCGGAUCGUAAAACUCUGUUGUUAGGGAAGAACAAGUACGAGAGUUACUGCUCGUACUUUGACUGUUCCUAAUCAGAAUGCCUCGUCUAA
rnacentral:rRNA from 2 species